GCGCCGGUAGCUCAGUGGAUUAGAGCAUCUGACUACGGAUCAGAAGGUCGGGGGUUCGAAUCCCUUCCGGCGCC
rnacentral:tRNA from 1 species